UACGUAGGGCGCAAGCGUUGUCCGGAAUUAUUGGGCGUAAAGAGCUCGUAGGCGGCUUGUCACGUCGGAUGUGAAAGCCCGGGGCUUAACCCCGGGUCUGCAUUCGAUACGGGCUAGCUAGAGUGUGGUAGGGGAGAUCGGAAUUCCUGGUGUAGCGGUGAAAUGCGCAGAUAUCAGGAAGAACACCCGUGGCUAAGGCGGCUCUCUAGUACGGUACUGACGCUGAGACGCGAAAGCGUGGGGAGCGAACAGG
rnacentral:rRNA from 1 species